rnacentral:tRNA from 1 species
GGCAGCAUGGCUUAGUGGAGAGAGCACGGUCCUAGGAGCCGGGAUGACCUGGGUUCUAAUCCCAGCUUUGCCA